rnacentral:rRNA from 1 species
AUGCGGCGCUCGGUGCGCGGCAGCGGCGCGAACACGCGCUACGUCUGCGAUAUCCUGCCGCAGACCGAGCCGGCGGAGGCGCUGCUCGUCGUCGAGGUGCGCACGCCUUCCGGG